rnacentral:rRNA from 1 species
UACGGGGGGGGCAAGCGUUGUUCGGAAUUACUGGGCGUAAAGGGUGCGUAGGCGGCUUUUUAAGUCAGAUGUGAAAACUCUGGGCUCAACCCAGAGCCUGCAUCUGAAACUGGAGAGCUUGGGUUCUGGAGGGGAAAGCGGAAUUCCUGGUGUAGCAGUGAAAUGCGUAGAUAUCAGGAGGAACACCGGUGGCGAAGGCGGCUUUCUGGACAGAUACCGACGCUGAGGCACGAAAGCUAGGGGAGCAAACAGG